rnacentral:rRNA from 1 species
UACGCAGGGUCCAAGCGUUAUCCGGAAUCACUGGGCGUAAAGCGUGCGUAGGCGGCGUGUUAAGUGUGAUGUUAAAUCGUGUGGCUCAACCAUAUCGAUGCAUCGCAUACUGGCAUGCUAGAGGAAGGCAGAGGCAAGUGGAAUUUGUAGUGUAGCAGUGAAAUGCGUAGAUAUUACAAGGAACACCAAUGGCGAAGGCAGCUUGCUGGGCCUUUUCUGACGCUGAGGUACGAAAAGCGUGGGGGAGCGAACAGG